rnacentral:lncRNA from 1 species
AUGGAGGAAGACACAUGCUCUGAUAGAGAUGGCCAGAGGGUGCUGGGGAGCCAGGGGGAGAAGCCCGACUCAGCUUUGGGGCCUCAGGAAAGAAUUUCCAAAACUGUUGGUUUUCUAGACAAGCUCCCGUUACCUCCCAUCCCAAAGGCUGGAGUCCAAUGGCACGAUUGUGGCUCACUGCAACUUCUGCCUCCCAAGUUCAAGUGAUUCUCUUGGUCAGUCUCCCUAGUAGCUGAGAUUACAGGCACUGACCACCAUACCCAGCUAAUUUUUGUAUUUUCAGUAGAGAUAGGCUUUCACCGUGUUGGCCAGGCUGGUCUUAAACUCCUGACUUCAGAUGAUCCACUUGCCUUGGCCUCCCAAAGUGCUGGGAUUACAGGUGUGAGCCACUGCUCUGGACCUAUUUGUAUGAAUGUAUGGGGAACAAGUGUAAUUUUGUUACAUGCAUAGAUAGCACAGUGGUGAAAUCAGGGCUUUUAGUGUAUUCAUCACCCAAAUAAUGUACAUUGUACCCAGAAAGUAAUUUCUCAUCAUCCAUUUCCCUCCCACCCCUCACCCUUCUGAGUCUCCAAAGCCUAUCAUUCCACUCUCUACAUCUUCGUGCUCCCAUUGUGAAUAGUGCUGCGAUAAAGAUAAACAUACAAGUUCUGGUACCUUUCUGACAUACUGACUUUUUUCCCUUGGGUAGUGCAUGCACCUGCCAGUGGGAGACCUCUGCGCAAUAUUGGUCAGUCCAGCUCCGUCUAGGUUUGCCCCCGACCUCCAAGACACAGCAUGGAUCCAGGCUCCUGGGGGUCUCAUGUCCCAUAACCUUUAUACAUUUCUAUUCUAUUUUAAAUGUAGAGUAUGAAGAAACAAGCUGUACAAGAGAAUAUUCACAAAAAUAUAAAUACAUACAUUCACCAAAUGCUUGUAGAUCAUUGAUUUAGACUGUAAGCGUCCACCAUAAGGGAGGCAGCUCAUCUGUGCAGGCAGCUCCUCUUGCCCUGUUCAGCUGGCUUUUGCUUGCCUCUCCUUGACACCAGACCUCUGGUGUGUGCAUAUUCUGACUGCAGCCACGCUAGCAAUGGAACAAGGGGACAAAAACAAUGUUUAAUUAAGUACAUUGUGACAGUCCAGAAGAACAUUUCUACUUUCUGACUGAAAUCCCACACAGGAAUGAAAGCGACAGAAAACUCUACCCCUCCCUGCAUGUGGCCAGCCCCUGUGGACCCUGGUGACAGGCACUCUGCUCACCUUCUGCUCGGAAGUUUUGCCAAGCCCAUGAUGGUUUUAUGAAAUCCUUUCUUUGAUUUGGCUCCUGGCAGUUUGCAGUUUGAAGUCAUACCUUGUCCUGGAUGGAAACCACGUAAAACUAUUACAUUCUAUAUUGUUCCCAUCCUAGACUGUGAACUCAUUGGGCUCCGUCCAACCCAAACCUCAGCACUGAUUUCCUCAAUAUUUGGCCCACAUUUAUAAACCUCAAAGAACCUCCCAGCAAACCUGGCUUGAAUCUAAAGUCUCUUUACCCGCAUUUACACAGGCCUGCUUUUAAACCAGUAAGCCUGCAAUAGACUGCCCUAGAACUUCAUAGCUUCCUUCCAGCCAUGUUAUAUAUAACUUCAGUAUAAUUUGUUUAAAAAAAGCACAAGAAAGAUUAUUUGGAGAUUCAAAUUAAGUGUAAUAGAACUGUAAUGAUUCUGGCAAUCAUUUUAGAAGCUGCAAUAACUAAUCAUUGUAGAUCUAACUAUAUAUACUGGCAGACACAUGGAGAAUAUUAACAGAAUCUUCCCACAGGGCUGCUUUUAGAGCUUAGCACUGCAAUUUGUUGAACAGUCUCCAUCACUUUCUGUACAAAACCCCAUGGUUCCUUUCUAAAUAAGUACUCAAAUGCUUCCUAUAUAUUGCAUUUGUAAAAAAAUACAUACAUGUAUGCGACAUCCUAAAUGGGA